GACGAACGCUGGCGGCGUGCCUAAUACAUGCAAGUCGAACGCAGUGGGGACGGGUGAGUAACACGUGGGUAACCUCGCAGAAGAGGGGAGAACAGUUGGAAACAGGUGCUAAAACCGAUACGGAAGGAUGGACCCGGGGUGGAUUAGCUAGUUGGUGGGGUAACGGCUCACCAAGGCCACGAUGCCUAGCGGGCCUGAGAGGCUGAUCGGCCACACUGGGACUGAGACACGGCCCAGACUCCUACGGGAGGCAGCAGUAGGGAAUCUUGGGCAAUGGGCGAAAGUCUGACCGAGCAACGCCGCGUGUGUGAAGAAGGUUUUCGGAUUGUAAAACUCUGUUGUUAGGGAAGCGGUAUCUAACCAGAAAGCAACGGCUAACUACGUGCCAGCAGCCGCGGUAAUUC
rnacentral:rRNA from 1 species